rnacentral:rRNA from 1 species
UUAUGGCUCAGGACGAACGCUGGCGGCGUGCUUAACACAUGCAAGUCGAACGGAGCGCCAUGAAAUGAGGUUUCGGCCAAAGGAAAUGGUUGCUUAGUGGCGGACUGGUGAGUAACGCGUGAGGAACCUGCCUUUCAGAGGGGGACAACAGUUGGAAACGACUGCUAAUACCGCAUGACGCAUGACCGGGGCAUCCCGGACAUGCCAGAGAUUUAUCGCUGAAAGAUGGCCUCGCGUCCGAUUAGAUAGUUGGCGGGGUAACGGCCCACCAAGUCGACGAUCGGUAGCCGGACUGAGAGGUUGGCCAACCACAUUGGGACUGAGAUACGGCCCAGACUCCUACGGGAGGCAGCAGUGGGGAAUAUUGGGCAAUGGACGCAAGUCUGACCCAGCAACGCCGCGUGAAGGAAGAAGGCUUUCGGGUUGUAAACUUCUUUGACAGGGGAAGAGUAGAAGACGGUACCCUGAAAACAAGCCACGGCUAACUACGUGCCAGCAGCCGCGGUAAUACGUAGGUGGCAAGCGUUGUCCGGAUUUACUGGGUGUAAAGGGCGUGCAGCCGGGCCGACAAGUCAGAUGUGAAAUCCCGAGGCUUAACCUCGGAACUGCAUUUGAAACUGUUGGUCUUGAGUAUCGGAGAGGUCAUCGGAAUUCCUUGUGUAGCGGUGAAAUGCGUAGAUAUAAGGAAGAACACCAGUGGCGAAGGCGGAUGACUGGACGACAACUGACGGUGAGGCGCGAAAGCGUGGGGAGCGAACAGGAUUAGAUACCCUGGUAGUCCACGCUGUAAACGAUGGAUACUAGGUGUGCGGGGACUGACCCCCUGCGUGCCGCAGUUAACGCAAUAAGUAUCCCACCUGGGGAGUACGAUCGCAAGGUUGCAACUCAAAUGAAUUGACGGA